CGUGAUCUGUUUCAGGGUGCCGUUCACACCCCGGAAAGUCCAAAAGUAAAGCGCCACUGCGAAGCGGGAUAGAGCGCUUCUGCACAUGCGCAAAGCGAACCCAGAAGUAAACACAUGUGCGCACGGCGAACCCAGAAGUAAACACUUUUGGGUUUGCCGCGUUCGUAACCUGAAAAGCCGCAACGUGAAGCAAACGUAACACGAGGUAUGACUAAUAAAUGCACAAGACUGUUUACGAGAUAACAGGGUUGUAAAGUUCCAGAGUUAAGGUUUAGCCUAUUGAAAUCUUGAACUUAAACAUGCCUAACUCAACACAAGAUCAGGCUGUUAGUGGAUUGGGGAACCAUUUUCAGGCUGAGGCUUCACUCCCUUUUGCCAGUGGCUGGUGCAGCCGGAAGUGAAAGUGGGCAGAGAAAUGAAAGCAAAUUUCACCUCCCCAUAGUAGGCUGGUUUCUGCACACAUAUCCCUCUCUAUCCUCCCUCCAGGUGAGCAAGAGUUCAAAGGACGUAUUCAAGGCAAGCAAAAAAACUUGAUGGUGUGACGCACACAGCCAGUGUGGACUGUGGCCUUGGGGCUAAAACAGUUUUCUUGUGGCAUAAAGAAUAAACGUAAUAAAUUAUCAGGAGUGCUUUUAACCACCAAUUCCUAGUUCAUUUUUCUAAUUAAAUGUACAGCUGAUGAUAUGCCAGCCAGCCUACUUAUGCAAACCAGCAAUCCAAACUUAAUGAAUGCAAAUCAUAGCUUAAAUUGUUGGAUAAUGACUUCCCCACACACUCUACCCUUCAGACCAGGGAGAAAUGACCUAAAGUUACAAAUUAUUUAUUUGGGUAUGUGUGGUUUAGCAAAUCAUGCAAAUAAGUUGUUCUCAGUAUUCCUUCAUGUCCCUUAAUAUAGCUGUCCUAUCUUACAUACAGUUUCAUAUAUAAUAUUCUCUAGAAACUGGUGAGCUUUGACAAAUUGUGCAGGCAGUUGUGCAGAUCUUUUGAUGGCCUAUUUCAAAGAAAGGUACAGUGGUACCUCGGGUUACAUACACUUCAGUUUACAUACGCUUCAGGUUACAGACUCCGCUAACCCAGAAAUAGUGCUUCAGGUUAAGAACCUUGCUUCAGGAUGAGAACAGAAAUUGUGCUCUGGCGGCACGGCAGCAGCAGGAGGCCCCAUUAGCUAAAGUGGUGCUUCAGGUUAAGAACAGUUUCAGGUUAAGUAUGGACCUCCGGAACGAAUUAAGUACUUAACCUGAGGUACCACUGUACUAGAGAGUCUCAUUCUUCCCCUCCCCCCUUACACAUAGAACCAUAAUAUUGUGAAUCUUGCUAGUCAAAACUUAAUAAACACCAAUAUGCAACGCUCUGA